rnacentral:lncRNA from 1 species
AGCUGCUCCAUGCUCCAUUUGCGCCUCCCCUUCGCAUCUCCAUCUCUAAUUUAUGACUCAUCUUCUUCCUCAACCCAAAAGGGGCAAAAUCACCAUUGAUGAAGCUUGAAGACCCAAGGGUGAGUGGGAGAGUUUCCUAACACCCCCAAAUAGCCUCCAAGGGCCUCUCCCAGUCUCUCUAGGUGAAGAAUGAAGUGUAGGAGGAGAAGUCCCUCAAAAAUCGCGAGACCCAUGUUUAAAUAACCCAUUUUGACAUAUCA